CCUACGGGUGGCUGCAGUGGGGAAUAUUGCACAAUGGGCGCAAGCCUGAUGCAGCGACGCCGCGUGAGGGAUGACGGCCUUCGGGUUGUAAACCUCUUUCGCCAGGGACGAAGCGCAAGUGACGGUACCUGGAGAAGAAGCACCGGCCAACUACGUGCCAGCAGCCGCGGUAAUACGUAGGGUGCGAGCGUUGUCCGGAAUUACUGGGCGUAAAGAGCUCGUAGGCGGUUUGUCGCGUCGUCUGUGAAAUUCUGCAACGCAAGUGCAGGCGUGCAGGCGAUACGGGCAGACUUGAGUACUACAGGGGAGACUGGAAUUCCUGGUGUAGCGGUGAAAUGCGCAGAUAUCAGGAGGAACACCGGUGGCGAAGGCGGGUCUCUGGGUAGUAACUGACGCUGAGGAGCGAAAGCGUGGGGAGCGAACAGGAUUAGAUACCCCAGUAGUC
rnacentral:rRNA from 1 species